rnacentral:rRNA from 1 species
AGAGUUUGAUCCUGGCUCAGAUUGAACGCUGGCGGCAUGCCUUACACAUGCAAGUCGAACGGCAGCACGGGGGCAACCCUGGUGGCGAGUGGCGAACGGGUGAGUAAUAUAUCGGAACGUGCCCUGGAGUGGGGGAUAACUAGUCGAAAGAUUAGCUAAUACCGCAUACGAUCUACGGAUGAAAGUGGGGGACCCGCAAGGGCCUCAUGCUCCUGGAGCGGCCGAUAUCUGAUUAGCUAGUUGGUGAGGUAAAGGCUCACCAAGGCAUCGAUCAGUAGCUGGUCUGAGAGGACGACCAGCCACACUGGGACUUAGACACGGCCCAGACUCCUACGGGAGGCAGCAGUGGGGAAUUUUGGACAAUGGGCGCAAGCCUGAUCCAGCAAUGCCGCGU